rnacentral:misc_RNA from 1 species
UUUCCGUUGGUGAACCAGCGGAGGGAUCAUUACCGAAUUUCCAGCUCUCCAACAUGGGUUCUCUUCCCACUCGGUGUCUACGUACAUUAGCUGCCUUCCCGGGCCACGUUCCGGCGUUCGCCUCGGCCCCUUGACCCCGUCUCAGUACGUAACCUCGGUUUGUUUCCUGAUAUCUGUGUACUCUAUCAACGAUAGAACUUUUAACAAUGGCUUUCUUGGAUCUCGCAUCGAUGCAGAACGCCGCAGGUCGGAACUGCACACGUCUGACGUACAGUCGUC